rnacentral:rRNA from 1 species
CGGCUACAGGAAAUGGUAGCCGAGUGACGGUACUUUAUUAGAAAGCCACGGCUAACUACGUGCCAGCAGCCGCGGUAAUACGUAGGUGGCAAGCGUUAUCCGGAAUUAUUGGGCGUAAAGAGGGAGCAGGCGGCAGCAAGGGUCUGUGGUGAAAGCCUGAAGCUUAACUUCAGUAAGCCAUAGAAACCAGGCAGCUAGAGUGCAGGAGAGGAUCGUGGAAUUCCAUGUGUAGCGGUGAAAUGCGUAGAUAUAUGGAGGAACACCGGUGGCGAAGGCGACGAUCUGGCCUGCAACUGACGCUCAGUCCCGAAAGCGUGGGGAGCAAAUAGGAUUAGAUACCCUAGUAGUCCACGCCGUAAACGAUGAGUACUAAGUGUUGGAUGUCAAAGUUCAGUGCUGCAGUUAACGCAAUAAGUACUCCGCCUGAGUAGUACGUUCGCAAGAAUGAAACUC